CGAGCCCGCCUGUCUGG
rnacentral:tRNA from 1 species